rnacentral:tRNA from 1 species
AAGUAAGAGCGAAAGCGACUUAAUUUCGACUUAAGUUAAGGAUUAAGAAGUUUUAUAACGUC